rnacentral:pre_miRNA from 1 species
AGCUUUUCGAGUCCGUGCAGAGAUUUCUUCAGAGACCAACCCAUUAGGGCUGACCAGAUUCCCAACACAGGUGAAGCU